UCUUCAUUUCCUCCUUGGAUAGAGUGCUUCCUAAAAUGAUUACUGCAAACUUUCUUUCAACAGGGAAGGCUAGGGGAUUCUCCUAAAGACAAAAGCAUUAGAGAAGAGGAAUUUAUCUCUUGGCCGUAUCUAUUUUUUAUAUUUAUAUUGUUUAGUUAGAACAAGCGAAUGAAUGACCAAAUAUGGAGAAAGACUAGACUUCCGGCUGCUGAAGCAUGAACCAUAGGAUGAUUUCAUAGGGACGGGGUUCCAAGACAGAUACAGAUCAAACUAAAGAUAUUAAGCAUAACAUACAUUUUGUUCUUGGAGAUAAUUGCAUUUUG
rnacentral:lncRNA from 1 species